UGAAAUCAAACGUUAUGUCAUGCAUUUCGAACAAAGAAAAUGUCCGCCUACGGUCACGCCAAUAAGUGUUUACAGGUCGGUAACUUCGUAUUCAAAGGAAAAUGCUUAGUCAACAGAUUUUCCAAUCAAGUUCGACUUUGUUAUAUUUUUUUCUGGCUUCAAAGGUAGGCAGUCAGCGCACAACGUCUUGUACAAAGAGGAGAUUAGCAUUUUGUCUUUACACGUUUUAGGGGAGACGGAUAAAGUGAUCAUGAAAGAGAUGAACGACGAUCUACUGCAGUAUUUCAAGGCACCUACAGUGUUGGAACACGAAGGAGGUCACUUCAUACCAGUAUCAGGUCUACAGAAACCAGUGUACACUGACUUUCUGCAGAAAAAGAUGUCCAGAUGAUCUGGGUUGAACUGUAGUUGCAUUGAUUAGCGUGUAGCUUUAAUUUGUUAACCUGUAAUCACUCAGAUACGAAUUUUGACGUGCUUGUAGUGCCUUAGAAAAUGAAAUUAAAUGUAAGACCUUU